UACGAAGGGGGCUAGCGUUGCUCGGAUUGACUGGGCGUAAAGGGCGCGUAGGCGGUUCGUACAGUCAGACGUGAAAUUCCUGGGCUCAACCUGGGGGCUGCGUUUGAUACGUGCGGACUUGAGUGCGGAAGAGGGUCGUGGAAUUCCCAGUGUAGAGGUGAAAUUCGUAGAUAUCGAGAGGAACACCGGUGGCGAAGGCGGCGAUCUGGACGAUGACUGACGCUGAGACGCGAAAGCGUGGGGAGCAAACAGG
rnacentral:rRNA from 1 species